rnacentral:rRNA from 1 species
AUGCCCCGUCCUUCUGUUUAUAAUGAAUGGGGGGCAAACAUCUUACGAAACCAUUCUUUUUCCCUAAAAGGACUUGGUGAAGGUUCAGAUUACCUAUGUGGAGCUAUUUACUGCUCUUUGGGUGAUUAUUCUAUUUCCCCUGCCUUGCUAAGAUCUCUGUUAGAAAAAUGGGAUCCAAAAACCAACACGUUCCUAUUCUCAUGUGAUGAACGCACUAUUACACUCCUUGAUAUGUAUCAAAUGGCUGGUCUCCCUCUGGAUGGAGACUUAUAUGAAGAAUUUAUACCACCAACACGUACUAGACCCCUCCCUUUGCCAAUUCCCUGA